ensembl:lncRNA novel transcript, antisense to C7orf33 and CNTNAP2
UUUCUCUUUCUCUGUGAAUUUCUUGAGAGCACAGACUACAUUCUGCUUAACUUUUUAUCCCCAGCUUUCAGCACAGUGCCUGGCUGCUUUGGCGUCUCCAAGUACCUGACCUCAGCUCAACCUGUCUUGGGUUUUCUUCUCCUCCCUGACAUUGACAACCCAGCCCUCCUAGGCACAGAGAGAUGGAGCUGAGUGUGGUUUUCCUGAAAUAAAGCUUGCAUUAUGAGAGGGAAUAAACAGAAGAAAAAAAUAUACAGAGGACCAAAGUGGAUGAGCCCUGCUGACCUUGAACACAAGAGGCAGCAUGCCAGGACCUUGCGUGAAGAGGCCUUUCUCACAGGGUGAAAAGCGCGCUUACCAGCCUGAGCCCUAGCGGCUCCAGCAAGAUGAACUUGGUACUGUGGAGAGAAGAGUGAUGGAGAAGGAAAGAGGAAGGGAGAUAAGGCCUCAGGGACUUCCAGGUACCUAUCCCAGGAAGACAGGCUGUCCAUAUGCUCGAAAUAUUCCUAGCACGACCUGUAACGAUUGUAUUUUGUACCAUUCUCCAGUUAGGUUAGUGACUGUGUAUGUUCCAUGUGUGACUGUAUACUCUUUCAGGUGGUAUGAGGCAUCAUGGCAGAAUGACGUGUGUAGGUUUUAUUCCUCUUCAUUAAAACAGUGAUUCAUCAGGUUAUGGGUGCACCAAAAUCUCACAGAUCACCACUAAAGAACUUAAUCAUGUAACCAAGCACCACCUGCUCCCCAAUAAUCUUUGGAAAUAAAAGAUUAAAAAAUAAAUUAAAAAAAUUAAAAACCAAAA